rnacentral:rRNA from 1 species
CGCCUUUUGACAAAUAAAUAUGAAAGGUCCUGCCUGCCCAGUGAUAAUUAUUCAACGGCCGCGGUAUUAUGACCGUGCAAAGGUAGCAUAAUCACUUGUCUUCUAAAUCAAGACCAGCAUGAACGGCAAAACGAAAGCCUAACUGUCUCCUUAAGUUAGUCAAUGAAAUUGAUCUUUUCGUGCAGAAGCGAGAAUAUAAAUAUAAGACGAGAAGACCCUGUGGAGCUUUAAAAUAAUAUUAUAUAAAUAUCUUAUAAUAAUAUAAAUUUUUAGGUUGGGGCGACCAUGAGGUAAAGUAAAACCCUCAAGAAAAUAAUUAGAAGGACACUUCAAACUAAAUAUAAUAUUUAUAUAUGACCCAAUAAUGAUCAACGAACCAAGUUACCCCAGGGAUAACAGCGCAAUCCAUUCCCAAAGUUCAUAUCGACGGAUGGGUUUACGACCUCGAUGUUGGAUCAGGACAUCCUAAUGGUGCAACAACUAUUAAAGGUUCGUUUGUUCAACGAUUAAAGUCCU